AUUCAGUCGGGGCCUUGCGGACGUGCAGCCGGUCAGGAGCCCGCAAGUGCGGCAUUGAUCGGAGGCUUGAUUCCGUGGGUCUCGACGCAUUUCCUUUCCCGUCCGAAGGACGCCGCAGCCGGUGGGGACGGCGGCCAGGAAAGGUGGGGAACGGCAGUUGGCCGGGGGCUCCUUCACGGUGUCGCUCGGUUGCUAGCCACUCCGCCCUGCGCUGCUGCCCGACCGAGGUAUCACGAGGCCCUUCGGGGUCCGAGUCCGCCUCCUUCCGCCUGACGGUGGGAAAGACGGCACGCACCUGGCAGAUGCGCCGCGAUUUCGGUUCGGCACGCGCUCGACGCGUGGGUUCCGAGUCCGGAGAGCGUCGGUGGUCGGGCUGCAACACCGCGGGAGGUCGGCGGCUGGCGGCGAGUAGAUCGGUCACCCAUCCGACCCGUCUUGAAACACGGACCAAGGAGUCUAACAUGUGCGCGAGUCAAUGGGACUUGAACAGGCCCAGAGGCGCAAUGAAAGCAAAGGGAGCCCUAUGGUUUCCGAGUUGGGAUCCCGGGGGCUUCGUCUCCCGGGCGCACCAACGGCCCGUCCUAUCCGACUUGUCGGUUGGGCGGAGCAUGAGCGUACACGUUGGGACCCGAAAGAUGGUGAACUAUGCCCGGACAGGACGAGGCCAGAGGAAACUCUGGUGGAGGUCCGCAGCGGUUCUGACGUGCAAAU
rnacentral:rRNA from 1 species